rnacentral:tRNA from 1 species
GUUAAGGUGGCAGAGCCCGGUACUGCAAAAGACCUAAGACCUUUGACACAGAGGUUCAAAUCCUCUCCUUAACU